rnacentral:lncRNA from 1 species
UGUGCUUAAAUAGAAAUUGUUCUUGAGUGAGUUCUGAUUUGUAAACAAAUUACUCGUGAUAUAAGAGUAAUGAUCUUUUCUCUUUAUGUAGAGAGUUCUUAGGUAGAGUUGUCUAAGUUUGAUACUGAUUAGAGUUAAUCACUGUAGAAGGUCCUUGGUAGAGUUGUCAAGAUGGGCUUGUAUAGAGUUAUUAUAAGCGAAAGGAACCUAGAGUUAGGUUCAUUAAAAACUGUAAUCAAGAGUUUGAUUGUAGUGGAUUUUCGAGAGCUUAUGAGGGAAAGCCGUGGUUUUUUCUCUUCCUUGAGCAAGG